UGUAUGUGUUUGGGCCAUGAUACCUG
rnacentral:piRNA from 1 species